GCUCGCGUAGCUUAAAAUAAAGCAUAGCACUGAAGAUGCUAAGAUGGGCCCUAGAAAAGCCCCGCUUGCA
rnacentral:tRNA from 1 species